ACAGGCUGAGUGUUGGGAAAUGGCUCU
rnacentral:piRNA from 1 species